rnacentral:lncRNA from 1 species
AUGCUGGAGAGGAUUAGCCAUCUGGUCUCUGUGGGGCAUCAACUCUGCAAGUCAGAUGUGAUUUCCCAGCUGGAGCAGGGAGCAGAGUUGUGGAAGGAAGAGAAAGGAUUUCCCCAGUGCCCGAGUUCAGACAGGAAAGGUGACCCUGUGAGACAAGAAGAAAUAUUCCUGCAAGAUACCUACAAGGAAGACUUAUCUAAUUGUAAAUGGUAAGUCUCAAGGGGGUGAACCCAUCCCUUUUCAUUAAAGGCAUGGAAACUGAAAGGCUUUAGAAUGCAGGACACCAUGGUUAUUUGAGGUGAACGUAAAUGCUGCUGCAGCAGAAAGUUUAGAUGGUUU